UUGGCAGCAGUGCUGCUGCUGGCGUUGCAGCUCCCUGCAGCGGCGGCGGCCGACGUGCGUCCGCCGCCUGACAGCUGCACCCGCAUGUGCGGCAACGUGAGCGUGCCGUACCCGUUCGGGGUCGGCCGGGCCGAAUGCUACCGGCCGGGCUUCAACCUCACCUGCCACACGAGCGGCCGGGAGGCGCCAAGGCUGCUGCUCGGCGACGGCACACUCCAACUGGCCGAGAUCUCCAUCGACAACAGCACGGUGCGGGUCAUGCGCACCGGCGACGUAAAAGUCGACGCUGCCGGCAACGGUUUGUUCGGCGGCGGCCUCGCGGAAGACGGGCCCUACACCGCUACACGCUGUCGAACUCCAGCGAGCUCGUCGCGGUGGGUUGCAACGUGUAUGCGAUCCUCCAAGAGAAGAACAAGCUCACCAUGCUGAGCGGUUGUGCCUCAUUCUGCGACGAAGUCGCUGACAAUGCAACUGAAAUGUAUAUAUUGGAACAAGGGAGUUCUCCCAGAACCAAAUACAACAUGGGCAGCUGCCAGGCGCCCCUCAUCCCCGCGUACUACGUCGGGAAUAGCGUUCCGGGCCAGGUAAAACAUUUCGGUUCGAACCGCAGAAUCGACCAAGUGUUGCCGCGGGCGAAGGUGUUCGUCGCGGAGCAGGGGUGGUUCGAUCAGAAACAUGUCUACUCUGCUUUAGUGUAUCCUCCGUUAGAAAUGGACUAUCUGUAUCAUAGACCAGAAAAUAUGGCAGUUCCAUUUCUUCUGGACUGGCUGAUCGUUGCCCAAGGUCGGCUGGCUACCACGGAGUUGACCGACGGCAAGUGCACCUCGGUCGAAGCCCGCGACGUCUGCAAGAGCAGUGAACGCAGCUGCAGGAAACCUCCUAGAGGCUAUAUUUGUUCUUGCCGGCAUGGUUACCAAGGCAAUCCUUAUAUCACCGACGGAGGUUGCCCCAAUCUCCCUUCUACUAUCUCCCGUUUAAGCAUCGAAAUAGGAGUUGGCAGUGGGGCAAGUGUUAUUGUCUUUAUUCUCAUGGUAUUUUUCAUGAUGCAAAAGUAUAAACACCAAAGGGCAACAAAAUUGAGACAUCAAUUCUUUGAGCAAAAUCGUGGUCAAUUGUUGCAAUAAUUGGUAUCUCAGAGAGCUGAUAUUGCAGAGAGAAUGAUCAUAAGUUUGGAAGAGUUAGAGAAGGCAACGAACAAUUUUGAUAAAUCUCGUGAGCUUGGUGGCGGCGGCCAUGGUACCGUCUACAAAGGGAUUUUAUCGGAUCUCCAUGUAGUUGCCAUCAAGAAGCCCAAGGUGGUGGUGCAGAAAGAGAUUGAUGAGUUUAUUAAUGAGGUUGCUAUCUUGUCUCAAGUUAAACAUAGAAUUGUGGUAAAACUCUAUGGUUGUUGCCUUGAAAUAGAGGUCCCAAUGUUGGUCUACGAGUUUGUAUCCAAUGGGACCCUUUAUGACCACCUUCAUGUUAGCUCAUUGUCGUGGGAUGACAGGCUACGCAUAGCAACUGAAACAGCCAAAUCUCUUGCUUAUCUUCACUCAUCUGUCUCAAUACCUAUCAUCCAUAGAGAUAUCAAGUCAGUUAACAUACUUUUGGAUGAUACUUUAACAGCAAAGGUAGCGGACUUUGGAGCUUCAAGGUACAUUCCAAUGGAGCAAUCAGGGGUAACAACAAUGGUGCAAGGUACAAUAGGAUAUUUAGAUUCUAUGUACUUCUACACAUCGCGACUCACAGAUAAGAGUGAUGUUUAUAGCUUUGGUAUCAUUCUUGUAGAACUGUUGACUCGAAAGAAGCCCUUUUCAUACAUGUCCUCUGGAGGUGAUAGCCUUGUUGCAAAUUUUGUUAGCCUGCUUGCAGAAGGCAGCUUAUUGCAGAUAUUAGAUCCACGAGUGAUUGAAGAGGGAGGCAUAGAAGUUGAAGAAGUUGCUAAGUUUGCGGUAACAUGUGUGAAAAUUAAAGGAGAGGAUCGUCCAACCAUGAGGCAAGUGGAAAUGACACUAGAAGGCCUUGAAACAUCCAUGGACCGUGUUCUAGAUGGUCAAGUGGCCGGGGAAUUUGAGAAGGGUGACGUUGCAAUAUUUCGACCAGCUACUAAUAGUGAUAAAAGAAACAAUGAUGAUUCAACAAGACAAUACAUCUUAAAAGAUGAGUUUAUGUUAUCCUCAAGGUACCCUCUGUAG
rnacentral:rRNA from 1 species